AUUUGGAUAGCUUAAAAUUUAAAAGCUUAACUCUGAAGAAGUUAUGAUAGAUUAAUAUCUUCCAAAU
rnacentral:tRNA from 1 species